rnacentral:rRNA from 1 species
CCGGAGGAAGAGAAAGAAAAUUCGAUUCCCUUAGUAGCGGCGAGCGAAACGGGAAGAGCCCAAACCAACAAGCUUGCUUGUUGGGGUUGUAGGACACUCUAUACGGAGUUACAAAGGACGACAUUAGACGAAUCAUCUGGAAAGAUGAAUCAAAGAAGGUAAUAAUCCUGUAGUCGAAAAUGUUGUCUCUCUUGAGUGGAUCCUGAGUACGACGGAGCACGUGAAAUUCCGUCGGAAUCUGGGAGGACCAUCUCCUAAGGCUAAAUACUCUCUAGUGACCGAUAGUGAACCAGUACCGUGAGGGAAAGGUGAAAAGCACCCCGGAAGGGGAGUGAAAUAGAACCUGAAACCGUGUGCUUACAAGUAGUCAGAGCCCGUUAAUGGGUGAUGGCGUGCCUUUUGUAGAAUGAACCGGCGAGUUACGAUUUGAUGCAAGGUUAAGCAGUAAAUGUGGAGCCGUAGCGAAAGCGAGUCUGAAUAGGGCGUUUAGUAUUUGGUCGUAGACCCGAAACCAGGUGAUCUACCCUUGGUCAGGUUGAAGUUCAGGUAACACUGAAUGGAGGACCGAACCGACUUACGUUGAAAAGUGAGCGGAUGAACUGAGGGUAGCGGAGAAAUUCCAAUCGAACCUGGAGAUAGCUGGUUCUCUCCGAAAUAGCUUUAGGGCUAGCCUCAAGUGAUGAUUAUUGGAGGUAGAGCACUGUUUGGACGAGGGGCCCCUCUCGGGUUACCGAAUUCAGACAAACUCCGAAUGCCAAUUAAUUUAACUUGGGAGUCAGAACAUGGGUGAUAAGGUCCGUGUUCGAAAGGGAAACAGCCCAGACCACCAGCUAAGGUCCCAAAAUAUAUGUUAAGUGGAAAAGGAUGUGGCGUUGCCCAGACAACUAGGAUGUUGGCUUAGAAGCAGCCAUCAUUUAAAGAGUGCGUAAUAGCUCACUAGUCGAGUGACACUGCGCCGAAAAUGUACCGGGGCUAAACAUAUUACCGAAGCUGUGGAUUGUCCUUUGGACAAUGGUAGGAGAGCGUUCUAAGGGCGUUGAAGCAUGAUCGUAAGGACAUGUGGAGCGCUUAGAAGUGAGAAUGCCGGUGUGAGUAGCGAAAGACGGGUGAGAAUCCCGUCCACCGAUUGACUAAGGUUUCCAGAGGAAGGCUCGUCCGCUCUGGGUUAGUCGGGUCCUAAGCUGAGGCCGACAGGCGUAGGCGAUGGAUAACAGGUUGAUAUUCCUGUACCACCUAUAAUCGUUUUAAUCGAUGGGGGGACGCAGUAGGAUAGGCGAAGCGUGCGAUUGGAUUGCACGUCUAAGCAGUAAGGCUGAGUAUUAGGCAAAUCCGGUACUCGUUAAGGCUGAGCUGUGAUGGGGAGAAGACAUUGUGUCUUCGAGUCGUUGAUUUCACACUGCCGAGAAAAGCCUCUAGAUAGAAAAUAGGUGCCCGUACCGCAAACCGACACAGGUAGUCAAGAUGAGAAUUCUAAGGUGAGCGAGCGAACUCUCGUUAAGGAACUCGGCAAAAUGACCCCGUAACUUCGGGAGAAGGGGUGCUCUUUAGGGUUAACGCCCAGAAGAGCCGCAGUGAAUAGGCCCAAGCGACUGUUUAUCAAAAACACAGGUCUCUGCUAAACCGUAAGGUGAUGUAUAGGGGCUGACGCCUGCCCGGUGCUGGAAGGUUAAGAGGAGUGGUUAGCUUCUGCGAAGCUACGAAUCGAAGCCCCAGUAAACGGCGGCCGUAACUAUAACGGUCCUAAGGUAGCGAAAUUCCUUGUCGGGUAAGUUCCGACCCGCACGAAAGGCGUAACGAUUUGGGCACUGUCUCAACGAGAGACUCGGUGAAAUCAUAGUACCUGUGAAGAUGCAGGUUACCCGCGACAGGACGGAAAGACCCCGUGGAGCUUUACUGUAGCCUGAUAUUGAAAUUCGGCACAGCUUGUACAGGAUAGGUAGGAGCCUUUGAAACGUGAGCGCUAGCUUACGUGGAGGCGCUGGUGGGAUACUACCCUAGCUGUGUUGGCUUUCUAACCCGCACCACUUAUCGUGGUGGGAGACAGUGUCAGGCGGGCAGUUUGACUGGGGCGGUCGCCUCCUAAAAGGUAACGGAGGCGCUCAAAGGUUCCCUCAGAAUGGUUGGAAAUCAUUCAUAGAGUGUAAAGGCAUAAGGGAGCUUGACUGCGAGACCUACAAGUCGAGCAGGGUCGAAAGACGGACUUAGUGAUCCGGUGGUUCCGCAUGGAAGGGCCAUCGCUCAACGGAUAAAAGCUACCCCGGGGAUAACAGGCUUAUCUCCCCCAAGAGUUCACAUCGACGGGGAGGUUUGGCACCUCGAUGUCGGCUCAUCGCAUCCUGGGGCUGUAGUCGGUCCCAAGGGUUGGGCUGUUCGCCCAUUAAAGCGGUACGCGAGCUGGGUUCAGAACGUCGUGAGACAGUUCGGUCCCUAUCCGUCGUGGGCGUAGGAAAUUUGAGAGGAGCUGUCCUUAGUACGAGAGGACCGGGAUGGACAUACCUCUGGUGUACCAGUUGUCGUGCCAACGGCAUAGCUGGGUAGCUAUGUGUGGACGGGAUAAGUGCUGAAAGCAUCUAAGCAUGAAGCCCCCCUCAAGAUGAGAUUUCCCAACUUCGGUUAUAAGAUCCCUCAAAGAUGAUGAGGUUAAUAGGUUCGAGGUGGAAGCAUGGUGACAUGUGGAGCUGACGAAUACUAAUCGAUCGAAGACUUAAUCAA